AGUGAACGCUGGCGGUAGGCCUAACACAUGCAAGUCGAACGGCAGCACAAUAAGAGCUUGCUCUUACGGGUGGCGAGUGGCGGACGGGUGAGGAAUACAUCGGAAUCUACUUUUUCGUGGGGGAUAACGUAGGGAAACUUACGCUAAUACCGCAUACGACCUACGGGUGAAAGCAGGGGAUCUUCGGACCUUGCGCGAUUGAAUGAGCCGAUGUCGGAUUAGCUAGUUGGCGGGGUAAAGGCCCACCAAGGCGACGAUCCGUAGCUGGUCUGAGAGGAUGAUCAGCCACACUGGAACUGAGACACGGUCCAGACUCCUACGGGAGGCAGCAGUGGGGAAUAUUGGACAAUGGGCGAAAGCCUGAUCGAGCCAUGCCGCGUGAGUGAAGAAGGCCUUCGGGUUGUAAAGCCCUUUUGUUGGGAAAGAAAAGCAGCAGAUUAAUACCCCGCUGUUCUGACGGUACCCAAAGAAUAAGCACCGGCUAACUUCGUG
rnacentral:rRNA from 1 species